rnacentral:lncRNA from 1 species
CCGAACUCGGUUCUCCACGAUACCAUUUCUUUAAGCUGAAUAAUACUAAAUAAUAAUACAUUCGAACUUAAUUUACAUACAUCAAAGUUUACUUCCCCAGGUACGUGACCUUCAAAUACAUUCCUUACAAUACUUGAAUAGAUACCAAUACAACUAUAACCAUUAACUCAUAAUACACACUUAUUCAAUCAGCUUUCCUUUUCCUUUGUUCGUGCCUGAGCCUUCAGGUUGCUCAUACAUAACUGAAAACAUUUAAUUUAAGCAAGGAUGAGCAUUUAAGUGCCCAGCAAGUAAUAGCAAUUAUAUAUAAGCUGAAAGAAUAUAAGUAUUCUCUUUACAUAACACUUCUACAACGAAUUGAAAGUUGUGAAGUAAUCUGUACUGAUAAAAAAUUCACAUAACAACUCUCUUUCAAAUUCUUUAAAUUUGGCUCUGGCUCUACCCUUGAAUAGGGUUUAAGAAACAUACUAUGAACAUUCUUUUCAUUUUCGAAAAGGUUUAGCGGAAUUCUAUCCUCAAACCGUCAUAACUUACGGGCACGGAGGGUGAUCAGCCCCGUUGUACCCUGUAUUGAUCAAUACUACAUAACUUGAACGAAAUUCAUCGCUCACUCUAUCCGCCUUGCGCAAAAAUCUUCCCAUAUAGGGAUGUUCAUACAUGCCUGGUUCCAAACCCGAAGGUUUUUAAUCUUGCUCAACAAUAAUAUGUAAUUCAACAUAUAUAUACGGGUAAUUGACAAAGGUGUAUCAACAUGUGAACAAAUGCCAUGAUUAUCCAAGUGGGGACACUUGUAUAACCAUUUAUAGAAAUCAAUGAACAGAAUAUAUAUCUGAGCUAACAUGUCGAUAAUCAAAGAGUACAUAAUCUGUACAGGGAUAGAAUAAUUCUGAAACUUCUUACUCAUGUCCAUUGCAUAAAGGAAGUGCAAAGGUAGGAUACUUGCCUGAUUCGCUGAUUACAAAUCUCAACUUAGGUUUUAUCUCUUUAUCACAACCUAUCAAUAAUCAGAUCAUUCGUUCGAUUAGAACAAUAUAUCUUAACACAUAGUACUGUCUAUUACAGUCAGCACAUAGUCUAAUCACAUAAUCACAGUGAUCAUACUUUUAGUUCCUAUUCUAUACUUGAAAUAUUUUUAUACAUUUUUCAAAUAUCUCAUCCAUGCUCUUACAGUAGUCUUUUCUUUCUUUUAUAAGGUCUGACAUUUGUCGGCGUACCGACAGCUUUAUCGGGUAAAUACUGAGUCUAAGACUCUUAUUCUAUACCUCAACAUCUGUAAAUAUCAGACAUCUUAUUUUUAAUCAUUUUCGCAAUUUCCAGAAAUUGAAAAAUUUAAAAUAAUUCAAAUCUGUCACUAAAGGGCCUAUAGUGAUAUAACUGUUACUAUAGGUGUUCUUCUUCAAAUUCAGAACUUCAUAAUCGGUUCUCAAGUCAGCUAGUUUGGCCGGCUAUAACUUUCAAAUAUCGGAAUCAUAAUUAAAUGAUUUAAACAUUAAACAAUUCCAUUAUCAUUAAUAGUUUAAUUAAUACUAAACUAUUAAUGAAACCAUUGCCAAAAUAUAAAAGUUAUUUAUAAUAACUCAAACUAUUUUUAAAACAUUUAUAUUACCCAAAUAAUUACCAUUAAUAUUUAAAUAUUAAUGUACUAUUUAUCCAAAUAUUAAAAGUCAUUAAUUAUAACUUAAAAUAUUUUUAAAUCCUUAAUAUCCUCUUUAAAUGGUUUUUAAAUAAGUAAAACCAUUUUUAAACUAUUUAUUUAAUAUUAAUCAUUAAAUAAACUAAAUAUCAUUAAUAUUAUCUUAAUAUCAUUAAUAUUUAAUUAUUAAUGAAAUUAUCAUUUAAAUAUUAAAAGUUAUAUUUUAUAACUUAAAAUAUUUUUAAAUACCUUAUUUUCAUUUAAAAUGAUUUUUAUAAUAUUAAAAUCAUUUUUAAACUAAAUUAUUUAAUAUAAUCAUUAAAUAACUUUAAUAUCAUUAAUAAUUAUUAAUUAAUGAAAUUCAUCACAAAAUAUUAAAAGUCAUCACAAAUAACUCAUUUACAUAAUCAAUUCCAAGCCAAAAUAAACAUAGUAAACUAACUAGUUUAUUAACAACACUAACUAAACUUCAAAAAUUCAAACUUUAACUAACAAUUAAAAAUAAUAACAUUACAAAAAUUAAAUAAGAAACAUACCCGGAAAUACGAAUUCCACAGACUGAAUACGCACUUCCACGCCAAAAUUUAACUAAGGAGAUCUUUAUAAAAAGUUCUCCCACAACAAAGCCUUUCUCAAAAAUUGGAGGCC